CCUACGGGUGGCAGCAGUGGGGAAUAUUGCGCAAUGGGCGAAAGCCUGACGCAGCGACGCCGCGUGAGGGAUGAAGGUCUUCGGAUCGUAAACCUCUGUCAGCAGGGAAGAACGGUCACUGUGCUAAUCAGCAGUGAAUUGACGGUACCUGCAAAGGAAGCACCGGCUAACUCCGUGCCAGCAGCCGCGGUAAUACGGAGGGUGCGAGCGUUAAUCGGAAUUACUGGGAGUAAAGCGCUCGUAGGCGGUAUGUCAAGUCAAGGGUGAAAGCCCCGCGCUCAACGUGGGAACUGCCUUUGAAACUGGAAAACUGGAGGGUGUGAGAGGAUAGUGGAAGUCCAGGGGUAGGAGUGAAAUCCGUAGAUAUCUGGAGGAACAUCAGUGGCGAAGGCGACUAUCUGGCACAUAACUGACGCUGAGGAGCGAAAGCGUGGGUAGCAAACAGGAUUAGAUACCCCGGUAGUC
rnacentral:rRNA from 1 species